UGUGAUGUUUGCUUUUUUUUCAUGUUUUUCUUUCCUCAUCCAUUACUUUCAGGCAAAAUAUGAACAGUGUGUGCGAUGCUGAAGCAGGUUAGUUAAUAAAUAUAUAUUAUAUACACUCUCCAGUAUUAUAUUGAUCUGUAUAAUAUAAAUAUCAUCAAGGUACCAGUAAAAUAAUGGGAAUAGAUUUAAUCACAUGUACUACAAAAGCCUUGUGUUUGUGGAGGAAUUGUAUAUUGAUCAUGUUGAUGUUGAUAUUAGCGGUGUUGACUGUCCAACUGACCACCACCACUGAUAAUAAUAUCUUUAAUAGUGAAAUAAAACAAGGUUAUUAUGAGAUGAACCAAAAUAUAACAGACAUCAUAUAUAUAUAUAUAUAAAUUGUUUCAGGCAUUUGACUGCGGUCAUGCUGGGGCAUCACCUUGAAUUUUUGGUCUACUGUAUCGAUCCCAGUACUUUUAUUAUUUUAAGCAUACCACUUAUCCUUUCAGCCUCUUUGCUGAACCACUACACACACACACACACACACACACACACACACACACACAUACACAAACACUCACACACACACAUACAUAGGCACACAGCUAUUAUGAAGCUUCUUUCAGUUUUCAUUUACCAAAUCCACUAACAAGAUUUUGUUCAGCUCUAGGUAAGAGUGGAAUAUACUUGCCUGAGUUUGCAUGCAGAGGGAUUCAACGUAGAACCGUGUAUGGUUGGGAAAAAAGCUUCUUAUUCUACAACCAUGUAUAUAUGUAUGGGUGUGUUGUACUCAUUUCUGUGUAAAUAUAUAUACAUACAUAACUUAGAAUAACUUAGAAAGGUUUUGGCCAGUAUUGGCCCAAGCCAUGUCUAACUUAAUAGCACCACCUGGCGAAGUCUUUCAGUUCAGGAUUUGGGCACCAAGGCCCAUUCGAGCAGAGAGUUAUUGUUUGCGGAGACAUAUCCGAGUGUGGGUGGUUUGUCCGGUACUGUUUGAAGGAAUUUGUCCAAAGACUUCUUGAAUUUUGUGUGGUCAGUUUCUUUUUUGACGUGUCCUGGUGUAAUGUUGAAGAGAGCGGGUCCAAUUGAGGUGAAAUAGUUGUGCCGUAUUGUCGUUAUGUGAUGCGAUUUAGAUUUUUGUUGUGGACGGAUGGCACGUGGUCCAAGCCUUGGAUGUAUUUUGAAGGUGAUGCCAACAUCAUUCGGACAGUGCUGAUGGAAUAUUUUCCACAUCAUACAGAUAAUGUAGCGUUCACGGCGUCGUUGGAGUGAAUACAAUUUCAGCUUCUCUAGUCUACCCCAGUAGUCAAGGUCUGACAUGCCAUACAUACAUACAUACACAUAUUUAUAUAUGUAUAGACAUAGAUACAUAUAUAUAUAUAUAUAUAUAUAUAUAUAUAUAUAUAAAUAUGUAUAUUAUAUAUAUAUAUAUAUAUAUAUAUAUAUAUAUAUAUUAUAUAUAUAUAUAUAUAUAUAUAUAUAUUAUAUAUAUAUAUAUAUAUAUAUAUAUAUAUUAUAUAUAUAUAUAUAUAUAUAAUAUAUAUAUAUAUUAUAUAUAUAUAUAUAUAUAUAUAUAUAUAUAUAUAUAUAUAUAUAUUAUAUAUAUAUAUAUAUAUAUAUAUAUAUAUAUAUAUAUAUAUAUAAUAUAUAUAUGUAUAUGUCUAUAUAUUUGUAUAGAGAGAGACAUAUACAUACAUAUAUAUAUAUGUACUGGAGAUGCAUGGAUUUAUGGUUAGAUCGUAUGUGAUCUUCUUCUAGCACAUGGCUGUCCACAUAGUGGUUUUUAGCCCUAAAUAUACACAUGUAUAUAUAUAUAUAUAUUUUUUUUUUUUUAACCAAUGAUAAUUUUGAUUGUUAUUUUCAUAUUUGUGUAUGUCUAUGUCUCUAUUUGUGCGUUAUAGCCAUCAUCGUCAUCACCAUCAUCGUCAUCAUUAUCAUCAUUUAACAUCCACUCACCAUACUGGCAUGUGUCGGCUGGUUUGACAGGAGAUUAUGAGUCGGUGAGCUGCCCCACGUUCCUGUCUGAUUUGGCAUGGUUUCUACAGCUUGAUGUCCUUCCUAAUGCCAACCACCCCUGGUGUGUAAUUGGCGUUUCACAUGCCACCGGCACGGGUGCCACUUGCAUGACACCGACAAUGGCCACGACUACGAUUCACGGAUGGUUGCCAUUUAAAUGGCACCACCAACGACGAUAAUUCCCAGGUGCCAAUUUACAUGGCACCAUCGGUGACCACAACUAUGAUACCCAGGUGUCAUUGACAUGGCACCGGAAGCGAACAGCCACGGCUAUGAUGCACGGCUGCCACUUAUAGGACACUGGCACGACCACAUCCUUAUCGUCACUUGGCCUGACAUGUCCUCUCCCGCAGAGAAUAUCACCAGGGCUCUCGGUCACUUGUCAUCUCCUCUAUGAUGUCCAACGGUUGGAGAUCAUUCUUCAUCAACUCAUCGAAAGUCUUCUUGGGUCUCCGUCUUCCAAAGGAUCCUUCCACAGUUAGAGAUCGGCACUUUUUGACACAGCUGUCCAUGUCCAUACACAUCGCAAGACCAUACCAACGCAGACGUCUCUCUUGCACACCCUAUUUGAUGUCUUCAAUGCUCAGCUUUUCUCUCAAGACUCCUAUACUCUGUCGUACAUGCACACUGACAUUGUACAUCCAGCGAGGCAUACUGGCUUCAUUUCUUUCAAGCCUAUGGAAGUCCUCAGAGAGGUCACAUCCCAUGUUUCACUGACAUGUAACAUAGUUGUUUACACACAGGCAUCAUAACGUCUGCCUUUCAAUCUCAGGGAGACGCUCUUUGUUACCAUUAGAGUUAAGAUCACUCUGAACUUUGCACGUCUUAUUCUUAUUCUUGCAGCUACACUCAAGGAAGAACAAACCACACUCCUGACUUGGCCACCUAGAUAGCGGAAACUAUCAACUCCCAGUAGCUUACUUACCUGGCAAUUGAUGGGCUCUAUUUUCUCUACAUUUGUGCUGUUUAUUGUACCUGUGCACCUUCCACACAGAAAAACUAUUAUCCCUGUUAACCUUCCUCUGAUAUUGCUGCAACACUUAUGUGUCCAUACCUUACACUGGGCACAUCUUAUGAACUUCCUACCUACGCUUUUUCUACAGAUCGAACAGUGCCAUCUUCCUAAGGGGAUUUGUGAAUUGUCCGCUUUCCUACUUACCAAGACUGGUUUUUGUUAGACUAAGUUUAGGGUCCUUUGGUUCUAGUCCUUACUGAUAUACCUAAAAUUUACCUAGUUCUGAAAGUUAUUCGGCUAUGAUAACAAGGUCAUCAGCAUUGGGGAUCUCCUAGAAGCAGUUCAUCUUAAAUUCCUCUGUUAUUGCCUGGAGGACUCUGAUAAACAGGAAGGAGCUAAGGACUAAUCCAUGGUGAACCCCUACUUGUACCCUAAUUCAUUGCUACACACGAUGCCAAACCUCACCUUACUGACAGCAUCCCUGUACAUGGCUUGUAACGCUCUCACCAACCAUUCGUCCAUCCCUAGUUUUUGCAGUGACCGCCAAAUAAGGGAUCAAGGGAUCCUGUCAAAGCCUUUCUCCGUGUUUAACAAAGGCCCAGUACAAGAGUUUAUCUUUGGCUUUGUACUUCUCCUGCAGCUGCCUUACCAGGAAUAUAGCAUCAGAGGUUCUUCGCUGUGGCACAAAACCAAAUUGCAUCUCUUCUAGUCUAACACACAUCCUAAUUAUUUUGUCUGUGACCCUCUCAGUAAUUUUCAUUGCUUCAUCUAAUAGUUUGAUACUUCUGUAAUUCUUCCCGUCCAAGGCAUCAUCUUCCCUGUAUGUGUGUGUGUGUGUGUGUGUGUGUGUGUGUGCGUGUGUAUGUAUUUGUAAUUAUUUGGAAUUUGGGUAUACAUUUAGAAGUAUACCCCUUAAAGCUCUUUCGCUGAUUCGGUUACCUCAUGUCAUCCACAGUUGAGCUAUAAGUGACACUGGAUCUACCUCAUGUAUUCUGCAGUGUUCGUUCAGUUUAUAAUGAAUGAGGGAAGCAGAAAAUGGAGUUAAUGAGAAUUUUUAUUCAUCGCAACGAUUGUUUCAAUCCAUCUUGCAUCGGUCCCUUGCAGGUAGGAUAUUGUAUAACUGGUUGUGGUACAUCCUCCGGUGCAGAUGCAUGUCAUCGGGUGUCUUCUUUUAAAGAAGAUACCUCUGUAAAUAUAUUCGGUUUCGCUUGGAAUGUUGUUGUUGCCAGAAGGCUGUUGUCUCUCAUGUUGUAAUCCAAGAAGCUCCUAGCAACAACAUGUCAAGUGAAACUGAAUAUAUUUAGUGAGGUAUCUUUACAUUAAAACAAGGCACCCGAUGAGAUGCAUCUGCACUGGAGGAUGCAACACAACAUGUAUAGUAGCCCACCCGCAAGCGACCGAUGCAAGAUGGGUCGAAACGGUCGUUGUGAUGCAUAUUCUCGUGAACUCCGUUUCCCCAAUUCAUUAUAUGUAUUUAUAUAUGUAACACUGAUGUUUAUGUGUGUGUGUGUGCGUGCGUGCACAUUAGUUUUAUGCAUGUGGACGCUAACCGGCUCAGCAGUUUUAUGAACCCCUUAUUAAUGUAGCAACGUCAAAAGUAAACAUUAGAAAUUAUAAUUCUUCUUUACUUGACUUGAUCUGCUAAUCAUGUGUUUACUCUAGUUCUGUUGCCCUACAACUUACUAUAGUGAGGGGCAAAUGUAGGACAUCUUAAUAUGUUUAUCAUGUCUCUAACACACACAUGUAUCAGGUUAUAGAAGGUCCUUAUGGAAGAUUUAUUUCACUGACAAACAUCAAAUGUAUUUGAUCAGUUUGAUCUAGUACCCAGUAGAAAACUGUAAUGACAUUGAUAUCAACCCUGAUUUUCAUGUAAAUUUUCAUUUUCCAUUUUUACCUCCACAAAGGAUUCGGUGAAUUUAGAAAUUGUGAACAAAGAAUAUAGGACACCAUUGCUUGAAGCUGUUUCGGACGGUCACCUCGGAAUAAUGCAGCGGCUGAUAGCCAGGGGCGCGAAUGUAAAUGUUGUCGAACAUGGAGGAAAUAAUUGCCUGCAUCUGGCGUUAAAAAGAGAAAACAACUUUCAUUCUGAGGUGGAGCACAUGACCAUGUUAGAUCAGGUAAGUUUUCACAUUGUUUGUGACUAUGUGUGUGUGUGUGUGUGUGUGUGUGUGUGUGUGUGUGUGUGUGUGUGUGUGUGUGUGUGUGUGUGUGUGUGUGUGCAUUUGUGAGUCUGUGUGUGUGUAAAAUAGACAAACUGACAGAGAAAGACAGACAGAAACAGACAUUGUUUAUAUCGCAAUUCUCACCUACCAACCCCAUCCUCCAUUACCAUUUCCUGAUCCAGUCACAAUGGUAACCCUUAGUUAUAUUAUUAUGUAACAAACACUAUUCUCUAUUCCGUCCCCUUCCGUCCUCAAAGGCACGACCUCUCCAUGGUAGAGAAGGUGAUCCAUCUCGAAUGUUGGCCAUACAAACACGGUCAUCAAAAUUUGAAGGAGAAAUGAUCUAUUCAAGACAGGAGAUAUUAUUCUGAAUUAACAAUGAUACUGGGUAGAAGAGAGGUUCAUAUGAUAGACAGUAACAUUUAUAGUGCUGGGGCCAUGAUAAUAAAUACAUCUUGUCCAUUCCAUGAAGAAUUCUGCCUGAAACAGCUCUCUGUCACAUUUCUUUUAUAUAAUACUAGCAGCAUAGCCCGGCAUUGCCCGGGUAUGUAAGAGCCCCUAGUAGGCAACGACUAAUCCCAAUCUAGUCCUUUCCCUCUAGGGAACGAAGGUGCGUGUGUAGGUUGCAAUAUCUUCUCUUCACUCGAAUACUUCUGUGUAUACGAUGUUCCUAGCUGUCCCUUUGGGCGAUAAAAAGGUCGAGUUGCGUCCUCUAGACAGAAGAUGUGUUGCAUAUAAAAAGUUUAGAUUCUCGACUCCAUGUCGAAUUUAUCGAUUUUUUUCAGAACUGGGGGAACUUUUCAAAAUUUUCGCUGCGUUAGUUUUGAAUUAUGACAUUGGGCUAUUCCCAUAUGAAUAAAGCUCACUACAGAUGACUGACUACUAUUCAGGCAGUUGAUGGUCAUCUGUGUAUUGUUGUAAUGUCUACUUUGGUGAGAGGAACCUACUCUGGCAGCCAGCGACCUCCCCACCCACUGGAAUAUCCAUCAGACUAACACUGAACAAUUUAUCAACUAUGCGUUGGUGUUCUGCCUCAACUGUGACACCGAUUCUUACUUCCCUUACUUCACUUUCUUCAUCAAAAGAUGUUUCCUUAUUAAUUCAUCAUCAUCAUCAUCAUGAUAAUGUAUCGACUGUUUUCAAAGCUGGCAUGGGUUCGACGCUUUGACAGAAGCUGGUCAGCUGAAAAGCUACCUGGGCUCCAUAUCUCUUUACGCAUGGUUUCGACAGUUGGACGUCCUUCCUAAUGCCACCCAAUUUACAUAAUGUACUGCGUGCUUUUCUGCAGCACCGACACGGAUAUUUGUAUGUGACACCAGCAUGGGUGAUUUUUCCGAAGCAUCAGCACCCAUGAUCCCACAAGAUUAGGAUAUCUCAGACGAAGAAUGAUACAGGGGUCAUGACAGUAUGCAAGGACAACGACGACUUAGCUUGGCAUAUCAUCUCAAGUACAGCAGACUGCCAAAAGUAUCGCUCCCAUUUCAUCCCCUCUGUGAGGCCCAACGUCUGACGGUCCUUUCUCACCACAUUAUUGCACGUCUUUCUGGGUCUACCCCCUCCACACAUUCCCUCCACAAUGAGAGAUCACCACUUCUUGAUGAAGCUAUCUUCAUCCAUAUGCAUCACAUAACCAUACCAUGGUAGACUUCUCUCUUGCGCACAAAAUCCGAUGCCUUAUAUACCCUGUUUUUCUCUCCAAUCCACUUAAUUAAAGAAACAUUAUUGAUCUGCGUGGAUAUGUCUAUGUGGUGUUGAUUUAGUUGUUAUGUCUGAAGGCCUUGCUAUGUUGUUGCUGUUCUCUUUUCUGGUAUAACUUAUAUUAUUUGUGGUGUUAUUCAUAUCUAUAAGACAGUCCUUUGACGAAAAUUUUAUGCACAUUUUGCUUUGGAGGUUAAUGGCAGCCAAACCGAGGCAAGGAUACUAAAUGCGUGGUGAGAAUGAGACCCGCGAUGGUUAAAAUUCGCAAGCUAUAAGAUGUGGUUGCUAUGGCAAAAAGAGUGAUUUUUUGAUCCCUCUAUAACGAUGUCUCUCUGUCACUCUUUCUUGCACCACCUCUCUCACUGUACAUCUGUCUGUAUCUAUAGACAGAAAGCGAUGACAACCGCAAAAGUUUAAAAUAUUCUCGCCACAGGUCUUUUAGAACGGUGAAUUAAUAUCGCCCACCUCCAUCGCACAGUCAUAACAGAUAUUAUUAAACAGAUAUAUUGUGUUAAUUUAUAUAUAUACUGUGUGCAUAUGUGGUUGGAUUUGGCUAAAAAUAUGCACACCUAUGUUAAAAGUGCUAGCGAGUUUGUAUUGGAACUUCGAAUUUGCUCAAUUGAAAGGCAUGGACUCUAGGGCAAAAUUCCUCAUCUUUUAAAACGUGGCCCGCUUAGACCCGAAUGAAAUCGGGUUAUAAUACCAAAACGAGUAAAACAAUAAUAAACUAUUUUAAUCCCGAACAAGGCCGGGUAUGUAUUUCUAAUCUAUCAAAUGAAGAAGGCGAACGAUGAUACAAAUUGGAUUUUUAUGUAAAAAUAUGUGUAAUUGGGCCUGGAAUGGGAUUACAAUUUAAAAGAGGGGGUAACUUGCGGUGAGAAAUUGUUUGAGAGACUUUUGGGGCGCUACUGUGGUCGUUUUGGUGUGAAAAUAGGGAUUUUAUUGAUUUUGGGGGACAAUUGGGGAUUUAGAUUGGACACCUUUUGCCCGAUUUCAAUCAAAUUUUCAACAUGGUAAAGUAGAAGAUUUGUAAUUUAAGCACGGAAAUCUAAUUUUUUAUAAAUGGGAGAUAGAUAGAUAGAGAAAGAUAAAAAGCAAGAGAAAGUGAGGGAGAGUCCGAGAUAAAGGAAGAGUAAGAGAGUGGGGAUGCGAGAGAGAAAGGAGAGAGGAACAAAGAGGGUGAAUAUGGCGAUAAGAAACAAAGGAAGCAAUAGAAAGUAACAAUCACACCCUCACCCACGCGUAGAGCGGGUCACCUUAAGCUAGUACUUAUAUGUACAAUACUCUUCCGUAAGUAUUUCUCUUGCUGUGGCCAUUUGGCUCUAUCAAGCCAGUUGUAGAGAUAGGUUCUUGUUGGUUUGUUGUCUUUUAUUAUUGUGACAUUUCUGUCCUUAUACUUUGUAUAUUUGACUUGAUGUUAUAAUAACUUUAUAUUGUGUUUUAAUUGAAUAGUUUGUGACAUUUGUGAUUGGCAAGUAAAUAUUUACUCCUUAAAUAUCAUCGUUAAGCAAUAACGUUGACCACUAAUGUGCGUUUUGUUCAAUAUAAUGAUCAUAAUGUUUUUCUUAAUGUGGAACGUAAAGUAAAAACAAAUGAUAAUGAAAAGUGGACUCAACUAAGAGAUGAUGUAAGAAAUCAACGCUGUGUGAAUAGUUUAAUCACUGGGGAAACAAACUAUGUGAAAAUGUAGUUGAACUGUUGUGUAAUUUGGGGCAUCUUUAGUAUAUGUUUGUGUAAUCUUUAACUCAUCAUUUUAUAUUUCAUCAUUUGUAGUACUUAAAAGAUCUGAAACUGGGAAAGAAAGAAAGGUACUCUGGCGUGGUGGUUGCCAGUUACCUAGCCCACCACGGGGCCAACUUUUACUGUAAAAACAAAAUUGGCAGAACACCAUUGGACCUAAUAAAAAAGGAAAAAUUAAAAAAAAACGUUAAAGACGUUAUUCCGACCAACGCA
rnacentral:lncRNA from 1 species